UUCUUUAAGAACAAUUAAUUUAAAGUAAAACCUGCUCACUGAUUAUUUUUCCCAUAAACAGCCGCAGUUAAACUGUGCUAAGGUAGCAUAAUAAUUAGCUUUUUAAUUAAAAGAUAGAAUGAAUGGUUAAAUGAAAUAAAUACUGUCUCUAAAAUAAAUAACUAAAUUAAACUAAAAGUAAAAAUUCUUUUACCUCAAAAAUAGACGACAAGACCCUAAUAAACUUAAUUAUUUUACUGGGGCGGUAAAACAAAAACACCUUAAUUACUAAUCACUUCCACAAUAAACCUAUACAAAAUAUAAUAAAGUUACUAUAGGGAUAACAGCGCAAUCUCUUUCCAAAGAUCUAAUAAAAAAAGAGACUUACGACCUCGAUGUUGAAUUAAUAUUCUCCUUAUUUAACGAAAAAGUUAAAAAUGAUGGACUGUUCGCCCAUUAAAAAAUU
rnacentral:rRNA from 1 species